rfam:Parcubacteria group bacterium CG2_30_44_18 cg2_3.0_scaffold_26912_c, whole genome shotgun sequence.
GGAGGGUUGGCUGAGCGGCUUAAAGCGCUGGUCUUGAAAACCAGUUGGGGAGAAAUCCUCUCGGGGGUUCGAAUCCUCCGCCCUCCG